UUUCCUCAUCUGCCGCCGAUCUUUACAACACCAUCGCCUCCGCCACCGCCGCCGCCAGAAUUCCCGUUCCGUAUACCACCACUCCCACAGCUGCCUCCUCUCCCUCGCUUCCCACCACUACCAUCACUGUAUUCACCGCCACCUCCUCCACCUCCACCACCACCUCCGCCGCCGUCGUUCCCGUGGACAUUUCCGCCGUUACCUUUCUUCCCUCCUGGUUCUUCAGGGCCAUCUCCUCCACCUUUGAGUCGUUCUCGUAAAGAUCCAGGCACUUGGUCUCCUUCCAAUAAACAACCAUAAAUAAAGUAAAUAAUAGUUGCCUCCUGGGAAGGAUAAUGUGCAAUGCAAAACUCUGUGUUACAUGGAUUUUUUUUUUCUUUUUUACAUCUCCUGAGCUGUAUGAACACGAAUGUAAGUUUCUGCCUGCGCCCAAUACGUAUAUGUAUACAUAAAAUUUCUAGGUUCUAAACAUAGGACUUUAUGCAAUGCAAUGCAAACUCGCCGUAGCUUAUUCAGUUGUUGUUUAUUUAUUCUUUUUUUAGGACUUGUUCAGUUGUUCUAUUUUUGGCAGUGUGCAAUCAGGACUCCAAUGCAAACUCAAAACAGAUUUGGAAGCCUUCAACUGGUUGAUUAUACAAGGCCCAAGAAUCUGAAGGUUUUCAUAAUUUCGUUUUCAUCACAUUCCCGAUUCCAUUUAUGUUCUAAUGAGGCCCUAAGUGUUCACUAGUAUAUUUCCCGUGCUAAUGCUACGGUGACAUUUAAAACAACACAAAUUAAACAACUGAAAUGGUAGAUAUGCUUUGACGAUUUUGAAAAAUAGGCCUCUUCUUUAGGCAAACCCUUCAAUGCCAGAACAACAGCUACUGUGAUCACCGCAAUAUACGAGCUGUGGUCUGGGUACCAAAAAAUCAGUUAAUUACUUAAUUCUACUCAGCACUACUAAUUCCGAAACUCAAGGCCUUGUUUAGUUUCCAAAAAAUUUUACAAAAUUUUUUAGAUUCUUCGUCAUAUCAAAUCUUUAGACGUAUGCAUAGAGUAUUAAAUAUAGAUAAAAAUAAAACUAAUUGCACAGUUUGGUCGGAAUUGACGAGACGAAUCUUUUAAGCCUAGUUAGUACAUGAUUAGACAAUAUUUGUCAAAUACAAACGAAAGUGCUACAGUGUCAAUUUCACAAAAAAAUUUGGAACUAAACAAAGCCUAAAUUUGAACAUCCAGCACACUGUACAAAGUAAAUUUAUAUGAUCAGAUGGUUCAGUUUAAAAAAAACAAAAUUGAUUUUUUUUUUUGUGAAUAUUUAACUUGAAAGGACGGCAUUUUGUUUUGAAAUCUAAUGAUCGAAAAUCACCCCUUUGAUGUUUUAAGACAGAUCAGUGGAGUUAUAUAGGGCCUUGUUUAGUUCCAAAAUAUUUUGCAAAAUAAACACUGUAGCUCUUUCGUUUUUUGUCUAUAUUUAGUACUUCAUGCAUGUGUCUAAAGAUUCGAUGUGACGGGAAAUCUGAAAAAUUUUGCAAAUUUUUUUUGGGCUAAACAAGGCCUAGGCAAAAAGGGGGGAAACAGAGAAGCAUGGGAGGAAUUGAUGUACCUGACAAGAAUACAAGAUCCAAGGCCGUCCUAGCCUGGCUUCUGCUCCUUGGGAUUCAAGCACCAUCUCCUUCAGACGCCCGGCUGCGCCUGAUACCUCCAUGUCGCUGCCGACGCCCGGCUGCGCCU
rnacentral:lncRNA from 1 species